rnacentral:rRNA from 1 species
UACGUAGGGGGCGAGCGUCGUCCGGAGUUACUGGGCGUAAAGCGCACGCAGGCGGUCUGCUAAGUUUGGAGUGACAGUUGGUGGCUUAACUGCCAAAGUGCUUCGAAAACUGACAGACUUGAGGGCUUCAGAGGGACACGGAAUUCCGGGUGGAGUGGUGAAAUGCGUAGAGAUCCGGAGGAACACCAAAGGCGAAGGCAGUGUCCUGGGGAGUACCUGACGCUCAGGUGCGAAAGCCAGGGGAGCGAACGGG